rnacentral:rRNA from 1 species
UACAGAGGGGGCAAGCGUUAUUCGGAAUUAUUGGGCGUAAAGGGCGCGUAGGCGGCUUGGCAAGUGGAUGGUGAAAUCCCUCGGCUUAACCGAGGAACUGCCGUCCAAACUGCUCCGUUUGAGACCGGGAGAGGUGAGUGGAAUUCCCAGUGUAGCGGUGAAAUGCGUAGAUAUUGGGAGGAACACCAGUGGCGAAGGCGGCUCACUGGACCGGUACUGACGCUGAUGCGCGAAAGCGUGGGGAGCAAACGGG